ACUCCUACGGGAGGCAGCAGUGGGGAAUAUUGCACAAUGGGGGAAACCCUGAUGCAGCCAUGCCGCGUGUGUGAAGAAGGCCUUCGGGUUGUAAAGCACUUUCAGUAGGGAGGAAGGUAGUGUAGUUAACACCUGCACUAUUUGACGUUACCUACAGAAGAAGCACCGGCUAACUCCGUGCCAGCAGCCGCGGUAAUACGGAGGGUGCGAGCGUUAAUCGGAAUUACUGGGCGUAAAGCGCAUGCAGGCGGCCUGUUAAGUCAGAUGUGAAAGCCCGGGGCUUAACCUCGGAAUUGCAUUUGAAACUGGCAGGCUAGAGUCUUGUAGAGGGGUUAGAAUUUCAGGUGUAGCGGUGAAAUGCGUAGAGAUCUGAAGGAAUACCAGUGGCGAAGGCGGCCCCCUGGACAAAGACUGACGCUCAGAUGCGAAAGCGUGGGAGCAAACAGGAUUAGAUACCCCUGGUAGACUGUCA
rnacentral:rRNA from 1 species